rnacentral:lncRNA from 1 species
AUAACUGGUAAAUUUGAUAUGACUGGAUUUUAGAGGAUGUGCAAAUCAACAGAUAAGGGUUUAGUUUUAAUAUGGGAGUAUAGGGUCUAAUUGUGGUUGAGCAGGAGCAAUGUUUCCCUAAACUUCCAGCUACUCUUAAAUGUGAUUUUUUUCAAAUGCGUUCCAAGAGGUGAAUGGGACCACUUUGGAAAAGGAACUAUUAGGACUUUUCUAUUGUGGUAUGAAGGAGCAGAAAAGAGUUGAAUCUUUAAUAAGUCUUUUAGAGAUUUCUGGAAAAGCGAAGGUAGUAUUUUGGUGGGGGAUACAGGGGCAAAGAAUGAGUGUGGCCAGUUUGGUUUUAGACCUGUCAAUUAUACUUUGGUCAACGUGGGAUAAGAAUUUAAAGAAGAGGCCAGAGUUAGGGAUCAGCAUUUGGAGUGUUUGCCCUGGUCAGAGUUGAGUGUGUGUGAGUGAGUAACAUCAGAGUUUGAAAAGGACAGGAGGCAAGGAUUCCCAGGCCUUGAACUGCUUUGUUGUUACAUAGGUCUGGAAGGUGAUAAGGGAGGCUUUUAAAGAUCUAUCUAAAAUAGCCCCUCUGACUGUCUUCCUUCAUCUUGCCGUUUCUCUUCAUAGCACAUUAUUACAACCUGGCACUGUAUUGUAUAUUAUAUUAUAUAGCUAUUUGAUUAUUGCCUAUCUUUCUCAUAGAAUGCAAAUUCCAUGAGGGCAUAGACUGCCUGUCUCUUUAGUACUAUACUCCUACUACCUGGAGGAGUGUUCAUUAUUCAAUGAAUCUAUGAAUAGGUGAAUUUUUUUAUCAAUAGAAUUUAAGUUGAUGAUAAUUAUAUUUCCUUUUUAUCUUUUCUUGAAGUAAAAUUUUGUUCUUUGAACAAACACUUUUUGGUAAAUGAGUAUACAGACAAAUGUGUUUGAGAAUCCAAAAUAUCCAACCUGAAAAUUUAAAUUUUGUUCGUAUUUUCCCUCAACUUCUGCCUUCCCCAGAUAAAGAUCACCCAGUCUCUUCUUUGCUAUAGUAUAUCUUUUUUUCUCGCAUUGUUAUUGGUGCAUUAUAUAUAUAAUGAGGAGUUUGUUGUUACAUAUCCAUAGUGCACAAAAUACAACAACAAAAUUUAGCCAAUAUAGCUCCUCAGCACUCCCCCACCACCACCACCUCUCUAUAGCAUUUCUUAAUAAGAAAGUAGAAGUGAC